rnacentral:rRNA from 1 species
CAGUAGCCGCGGUAAUACGAAGGGGGCUAGCGUUGUUCGGAAUUACUGGGCGUAAAGCGCACGUAGGCGGACUUUUAAGUCAGGGGUGAAAUCCCGGGGCUCAACCUCGGAACUGCCUUUGAUACUGGAAGUCUUGAGUGUGGAAGAGGUAAGUGGAAUUGCGAGUGUAGAGGUGAAAUUCGUAGAUAUUCGCAGGAACACCAGUGGCGAAGGCGGCUUACUGGUCCACAACUGACGCUGAGGUGCGAAAGCGUGGGGAGCAAACAGGAUUAGAUACCCCGGUAGUCCCUGUCUCUUAUAC